GUCUGGAUGGCGUAGUGGUUAGUGCAUCUGCCUCGUAAGCAGAAGACCCGGGUUCGAAUCCCAGUUUGGCACA